AUGAGGGGCUCGUUCAAGGGUGGCGGCACCGCCCCUGGGAGUCAUUUCAGGGCUCACCUCACCCUCAGUCUGUGUUGGGGCCCUUCCCGAGGUUGGCUGUGGUCCCCCGGGCCACCCUCAGGGGUGUCCCCAGAUAGGAGGCAGCACUGGCAAAUACAUGCAUGGCACUGGCACUCACGGACAGCAGCCUCCAUGCUUAGCACUGAGCCAAUCAGUGUCGGUGGCCAUGUUAGACACGAGGAGGCUGAGGCACAAGGACGCGAGUCUGGGAAUCUGGCCUCGAGUCCCAGAUCCGCAGCAUGGCUCGCUUCUGCCCGCAGCCCGAGUGCACAGGGCGGGCUGUCUCAGGGUGGGCGCUGGGCAGGGUCAGGCCUCGAGGCCAGUGCAGGUGGCCCUGAUGCCACCCCUGCCCUGCAGCUGUACAUCCAGACGACCACGCUGACCGUCUCGGUGAGUCUGAGCGCCUCGGUGUCCCUGGGAAUGCUCUACAUGCCCAAGGUCUACAUCAUCCUCUUCCACCCGGAGCAGAACGUGCCGAAGCGCAAGCGCAGCCUCAAAGCUGUGGUCGCCGCUGCCGCCAUGUCCAACAAGUUCACGCAGAAGGGCAACUUCCGGCCCAAUGGGGAGGCCAAGUCUGAGCUGUGCGAGAACCUGGAGGCCCCAGCGCUGGCCACCAAACAGACUUACGUCACCUAUGCCAACCAGGCCAUCUAGCUGGGCCGCCGGAGCCUCAGGAGAAGCCACAGCCCCGUGGACGUCACGCUGCAGGCCCGAGGCCCAGGCCCCGGCUGAUGUCCUGCUGGCCCGUGGCACCCACGGAUGUGGCUUGGUGCUGAGGACAGCGGAGACCUGGCUGUCCCUGCUGGGAGCCUGGGCAAGCCGGGCGGGCACCGCAGGAGCCUUCGUGUCACUGUCGCACAGGGUGCAGGCGUAGGCCCGGUGCCGGUCCUCUGUUCCUCCCGUCCGUCUGUCCUGCUGGUUACCUUGUCCGUCCCUUUGGAUUUCUGUCCUUCGUUCUCUCCGCCUGUUUUCUCUGCACGUCCGUCCAUCUGAUCUGGUCCUCGGCUCCCGUAGUCCCUUCUCUCUGCUCCCCCCCUGCCCUGUCCCUGCCCUCCUGGGACCCCACAUUAUGCCCCUCCCGCAUUUUUCUUUCCAGCCCCCACUUCACUUUCCUGAUCCCUCAGUCCACCAAUUCUUCCACGUUGCAAGAGAAAAAAGGAAAAAAAAUCAAAACACAAAAACGCCAAAACAAAAACGAAUCUCCAGUGUGUUGCAAGUGCCACGCCCUCCUGGUGGCCUCGUGUGUGUCCCCGUGGCCGCUGCCCGCCGCCUGCCCCACCCGUCUGCCGUGUGUCGUGCCCGCCUGCCGCCUGCCCUCUGCUGACCACACGGAGUUCAGUGCCUGGGUGUCUGGUGAUGGUUAUUGAUGACAUGUGUAGCGCAUGAUUGUUUUUAUACCAAGAACAUUUCUAAUAAAAAUAAACACAUGGUUUUGCACCUGGGCUCCGCAUCCACUGUGAGACCCGCCAGGGACCACAGCUGACCCAAACCCAGAGGGGUGGAGUGGGAGGGCGGAAAGGGCUUGGGGCUCUGGGCUGCAGUGGCUGGGCCCGGGCAGGGACUGGUGGCUGCCUAGGUAAGUGGGGUGCUGUCCCUGCCCUGCAGCAGCUCAGGCGAAUCUCCAGUGUGUUGCAAGUGCCACGCCCUCCUGGUGGCCUCGUGUGUGUCCCCGUGGCCGCUGCCCGCCGCCUGCCCCACCCGUCUGCCGUGUGUCGUGCCCGCCUGCCGCCUGCCCUCUGCUGACCACACGGAGUUCAGUGCCUGGGUGUCUGGUGAUGGUUAUUGAUGACAUGUGUAGCGCAUGAUUGUUUUUAUACCAAGAACAUUUCUAAUAAAAAUAAACACAUGGUUUUGCACCUGGGCUCCGCAUCCACUGUGAGACCCGCCAGGGACCACAGCUGACCCAAACCCAGAGGGGUGGAGUGGGAGGGCGGAAAGGGCUUGGGGCUCUGGGCUGCAGUGGCUGGGCCCGGGCAGGGACUGGUGGCUGCCUAGGUAAGUGGGGUGCUGUCCCUGCCCUGCAGCCCGGAGGGACCACGUCUGCCACUGUGAGCAGCUGGGAGGUGUUAGGGGCGUGGCUCGGAGGAGGCCCUGCCAGGGGAAAUGACAGAGCCUGGGACACAAUGAGGACAGCGCAGCUGCCUGCACCACCCCCGCCCCUCCCACCUCACAGCUGGCGGCCAGGACUCAGGGAGCCAGGCAGGGACCCUUGCAGGGUGGCAGUGCGGCUGGGGCAGGCAUUGCUACCCCCGGGGGUGUCCUGGCUGUGCCUUACACUUCGUGUGAGCUGAGUAAAGUCCGAGUCCGGGCAGGGGAGCAGAGUGGCUGCCUCUCUCCCAUCUAGCUCCAGCAGGAUGCUCCCCGAGACCCCUGCCCAGUAUAGAUCUCGCCCAGCUGGUAGCACGAGGCUGCUGGACCUGGGAUGCUGGCUGGAAGCUUCCAGGCUAAUGAGUGCGGGCGCCUGGAUGCCUUCCCCCUCGGGCCUACUCCUCACUCGAGGUGACAGGCGGAGCCCUGGCCUGGAACCUCGGGGUGACGCUCAGCCCAGGACUUGCCCAGGGCCCCCCAUCUGUAGGGAACAGGGAGGGGGCCACCUUCUUGCCCGGGGUGGGGUUGCUGCCCUCCUGCCCCUCAGCUUGCAGGAGAGGGCAGUGGCGGCCGGGAGGGGACAAGGGUGGCAUUUGAGGC
rnacentral:lncRNA from 1 species